rnacentral:rRNA from 1 species
GACGAACGCUGGCGGCGUGCUUAACACAUGCCAGUCGAACGGAAAGGCCCUGCUUUUGUGGGGUGCUCGAGUGGCGAACGGGUGAGUAACACGUGAGUAACCUGCCCUUGACUUUGGGAUAACUUCAGGAAACUGGGGCUAAUACCGGAUAGGAGCUCCUGCUGCAUGGUGGGGGUUGGAAAGUUUCGGCGGUUGGGGAUGGACUCGCGGCUUAUCAGCUUGUUGGUGGGGUAGUGGCUUACCAAGGCUUUGACGGGUAGCCGGCCUGAGAGGGUGACCGGCCACAUUGGGACUGAGAUACGGCCCAGACUCCUACGGGAGGCAGCAGUGGGGAAUAUUGCACAAUGGGCGGAAGCCUGAUGCAGCAACGCCGCGUGCGGGAUGACGGCCCUCGGGUUGUAAACCGCUUUCGCCUGUGUCGAAGCGUGAGUGACGGUAAUGGGUAAAGAAGCACCGGCUAACUACGUG